CCCAAAUUAGCUCAUCUGCAAUUCGUUUCCUUUCAAAAAAGAAACUCAAGUGACACAAAACGGGAAAGGGGAGUUUCAUACGUAACCCAUUAACUCAAUUAGGCAGAAAACGAAAGUUAUUUGUUUAAGCCGGAGUCUUCAUAUUCACCAUAUACGGAGGCCGAAAUGAGGCGGCGAAAAUAGGCAGAAAUUUUCGAAGAAGUUGUGGGUUUCUUCCAUCUUUUCCACUCCACCUGGACAGUGCAUAUGUACAUACUAGCCUGCUUUCUUUUUAUGUUUAUAUUUUGUUAUUGAAGAUGCAAAUUUGAAGAAAUCUCUUGUACUUCUGCUGUAGACGAACAUAGGUAUAUUGAUGAUAUAUAUAUUAAAAUUAUAUGUCUUUUGUUAUCUUAUGCCAUGUUUUUAUUGAUUAUUAACUCCAGCGGUAUGGAUUUCAAUUGGAAAUUCCAACGGUAUCUUGUGCCACUUUUAAGAAGAAAUUCCAGCAGUAUGGAUUUCAAUUGGAAGCCACACUUUCAAGGCAUAUGAAAGUCAGCACCACCAAAUAAACCAUUCAAACCACCUCAAAACUUGUCCAAAAUUAAUCAGAUUUUGAAAGUGAAUAAGCCCUUUUUUUUACUCCAAACAGAAGGGGUGGAGAAACAUAUUUACAGAGAAAACAGUAGCAAAAAGUAGUAACAAUAAUCUGGAGGUAGAAAAUUGAAAAUUAAUUUCCCAAUGAUUUGAACCCGUGAUUUCACACGACGUCCCGUUUCACGACAGAGCAGAUGGGGCCCAAAUCACACUGUUGGAAUUGAGCGACUGCCGGAGAUGGAGAUGAGGCGGAAGGCCAGUGCUCGGGAGGAAACGUUUGAAAGAGAAGGGAAAUGGGUUGAAAGGGAAGGGUUGGGUUCCAAAAUCGAUUUGGGGGAAAAGGAGAGAGAGGACGAGAAAUAGGGGAGAGAGAGAAUGAUCCUAGACUUCCAAUUUUUAAUGUUUCUUUGGUGUCUUUUUUUGUUUUUUCAAAAGAUUAUCACGUCACUUUGUCAAUCUUCUUUCUCUAGAACCUUUGUACACAUAGCGCGAUUGUAAUAUACUACAUUCCGUGAUCUACCUUAAAAAAUAGUUUGAUUGACCAUGGACAAUAUAGUUUUGAUGUCUUUUUUGAUGGACAAGGUGCGAAUAGUCUUACUGACCAUGGUUGUUCUCCACGAACAGAGCCAACUUGAAUGAACUUUUUCUCGAUUCAUGCUGCCACCCAAAAUAAUGGAUUUUA
rnacentral:lncRNA from 1 species